AGAGCGAACGUUAGCGGCGGGCCUAACACAUGCAAGUCGAGCGAGAAAGCGGCUUCGGCCGUUAGUAAAGCGGCGGACGGGUGAGUAACACGUGGAUAAUCUGCCCUUCAGCGGGGGAUAACUGUCCGAAAAGGAUAGCUAAUACCGCGUACGUCGGCGAGGACCUCGGUUCUUGUCGGGAAAGCAGCCCUCUUCAUGAAAGGUUGCACUGAAGGAUGAGUCCGCGUCCCAUCAGCUAGUUGGUGAGGUAAUGGCUCACCAAGGCUUAGACGGGUAGCUGGUCUGAGAGGAUGAUCAGCCACACUGGAACUGAGACACGGUCCAGACUCCUACGGGAGGCAGCGAGUGGGGAAUAAGUUUGGGCAAUAGGGCCGCAAAGGCCUGACCCAGCCACGCCGCCGUGAGUGAUGAAGGCCUUCGGCGUAAG
rnacentral:rRNA from 1 species